rnacentral:lncRNA from 1 species
GGUAAUAGGCUAAAAUUCAAAGAGAAAAAAGAGAUUUGAAAGAAACUGCGGGAGUUGAAUUUACAAAAUAUUUCUUUUACUUCAACAACAACUCUAUAGCAAUUGUUUUAUCUUUUUUUUUCUUUUUCAGAAGAAGUAGGUAUUGACAUGUAUUGACAUCCUUUUAUUUUUUCAUUCAUUCAUUUUUUUCUAUUUUCUUUUUCUAUUUUUCUUUUCUUUUUCUGCCAACUUCUGAAAUGUUACAACCAUUUCACAAUCUUGAAGCCUUGCUGUGAAUACUCUGGUUCUUUGAGGUCUUUAGCCUGUUCUAG